GAUGAACGCUGGCGGCGUGCCUAAUACAUGCAAGUCGAGCGAACGGACGAGAAGCUUGCUUCUCUGAUGUUAGCGGCGGACGGGUGAGUAACACGUGGAUAACCUACCUAUAAGCCUGGGAUAACUUCGGGAAACCGUAGCUAAUACCGUAUAAUAUUUUGAACCGCAUGGUUCAACAGUAAAAGACGGUCUUGCUGUCACUUAUAGCUGGAUCCGCGCUGCAUUAGCUAGUUGGUAAGGUAACGGCUUACCAAGGCCACGAUGCAUAGCCGACGUGAGAGGGUGAUCGGCCACACUGGAACUGAGACACGGUCCAGACGCCUACGGGAGGCAGCAGUAGGGAAUCUUCCGCAAUGGGCGAAAGCCUGACGGAGCAACGCCGCGUGAGUGAUGAAGGUCUUCGGAUCGGAAAACUCUGUUAUUAGGGAAGAACAUAUGUGUAAGUAACUGUGCACAUCUUGACGGUACCUAAUCAGAAAGCCACGGCUAACUACGUG
rnacentral:rRNA from 1 species